UUGCUUCUGGAAUGUGACCUCUUUCACCUCUCACAUAAGGCACUGACCUUAAGAACCGUUAAUGCAGUCCAGCAUUCCUGUCUAAUUUGGAUGUGAACUCAUUGUUAAAAUGCCAUUUCAAAUCCUGGUUGAAUGAGGAACCCCGGUUAGUGUUAAGUGUGCUUGAGACUGGUGCCGACCUUUUCCCUUCACCACAGUUAAGAGAGGAGUGGAGAAUUUAUGCAAGGACGAGAAGGCUUUGCCAGCAGUUACAACCGAGCAUGUGAAAAGGUUGUGAUGGAUCAGCGUGGUGCUUUUGAGAUAACAGUGUAAUCGUGACUCAGGACUCAGAACUUUCCAGAUCAAAGAAGGCCACAGAAACCCCCAACCCUAGAGACCAAAGAUGUCAAUAACUUUAAUCUCACCAAGUUGAAACCGGCAGUCAGACAUCGUGGCAGUAACGUCACAGGAUAUAACAUGGAAGGCCAAGUCUACUGUGAUAAGGACCAGAUGGAACCCCUAUCUUCAAUGGAUAACAACUACUGGACCAGAAGACAUUCAGUGGAAAUUAAAGACAUUGUGCCCGUGGCUGAGGACAACCGUUUGAACCCUUCCAAUGGAUAAUGGGUGGGGGAGGGGGUUGGGAAGGGAAAGGAAAAAUGGUACGGGAAAUUAAAAAUUGGAAGGAGAGAAUAUAAUGUAUAUAAAAAUUCUCGUACUUCAAU